AGGGGGAGGGACUGAGAAGUUGUUGAUGUUCACAUUUUUUGGCUAAGUCCUGGAUCUUCGCAAUCCUACCUGCAGCACCUUUAAUGGUUGUGACAACAACAACUUUAUUCUAACAUGAUAAUACUGAUUUUUCAACCACCGGUUCUCGCUAUUAUCAAGCUAGACAGAAUAAAGCUGUCAUGACAAUAUAUACUUGGUAAAUUACUAUACUGAAGGCCUUUUUUCUUGGUGACCUGGUGACUCUUUAGAGCCAUCUGAAGGCAGUAGGUAUCUGUUCCAUCUGCAGUCUCUAAUUGGAGUGAUGAUGCGCACAGCAGAUCGCACAGGGUACAUUUUGGGCAACCAGCAUCAGAAAGCUGUAAAAUAACCACAGAAACCUCCCUGCCCAUGUGCACAUCAAGCGUGUAAAGAGAACAAACACUCUGUGAAGAGAAAGUACUGACAGUUGCUGAUUCUGAUGGCAAAAAUUCCACAAUACCCUUUCAGCAUAUUGUAAUUCAAGUGGUCUGAGAGAAAAAUAGACUUUUGGCUCUGUUUUCAGGCUUUAGAAAAUCUAGCCUGUGACUGGUGACUAGGCAUGAAUAUGCAUUUUUCCCAAAUUAUCGAAUAUAGUGAAUCAUCGAAAGGAAGAAGGAACACACACGUAAAUAAUAUUUCAUUUUGUUCCCAUUCAAUGGCCCUAAAGGGAAAAAAUAGAAUGCCCACUUCUUAUAUUUGGCUUCAUACACGUGAAAUCAUAAAAUAGACGAAGAAAAAGAAUUACAAAGCCAAAUAAGUUUUAAAAGGCCAUGUGUGUGGGGUAGAUUGUGUAAUUGGAGGCAUAGGUAGAUACUUCACUACGAGCUGCUUUUGAUCAUUCUCUGUUUCACAGAUUUUGUGUUUACCUCAACUCUUUUUGGAGUUAAAAUGAAUGAUUCAAGGGUGAUGUAACACCUAUUCACUGUAGUACAAAGUAGCACAAGAGCGUUGAGUGAUGCUGUUUUCCUUCAAACGUUAACAUCCCGCUAGCCAUGUGUGUGACAUCAAUAUUUAAUAAAAGCAUACUCUUUGAAUUGUA